UGGGGAAUUUUGGACAAUGGGCGAAAGCCUGAUCCAGCAAUGCCGCGUGUGUGAAGAAGGCCUUCGGGUUGUAAAGCACUUUUGUCCGGAAAGAAAUCCUUGGCUCUAAUACAGUCGGGGGAUGACGGUACCGGAAGAAUAAGCACCGGCUAACUACGUGCCAGCAGCCGCGGUAAUACGUAGGGUGCAAGCGUUAAUCGGAAUUACUGGGCGUAAAGCGUGCGCAGGCGGUUUGCUAAGACCGAUGUGAAAUCCCCGGGCUCAAACCUGGGAACUGCAUUGGUGACUGGCAGGCUAGAGUAUGGCAGAGGGGGGUAGAAUUCCACGUGUAGCAGUGAAAAUGCGUAGAGAUGUGGAGGAAUACCGAUGGCGAAGGCAGCCCCCUGGGCCAAAUACUGACGCUCAUGCAACGAAAAGCGUGGGGAGCAAAACAGGAUUAGAUACCCUGGUAGUCCACGCCCUAAAACGAUGUC
rnacentral:rRNA from 1 species